rnacentral:rRNA from 1 species
UACGAAGGUAGCUAGCGUUGUUCGGAAUCACUGGGCGUAAAGCGCGCGUAGGCGGAUGUGUCAGUCAGGGGUGAAAUCCCGGAGCUCAACUUCGGAACUGCCUUUGAUACAGCACGUCUUGAGUCCGAUAGAGGUGGGUGGAAUUCCUAGUGUAGAGGUGAAAUUCGUAGAUAUUAGGAAGAACACCGGUGGCGAAGGCGGCCCACUGGAUCGGUACUGACGCUGAGGUGCGAAAGCGUGGGGAGCAAACAGG